GCUACAGCUGCUUAAUAAGACCUUAUUAAUUUUUUCUUGUAUCUUGUAGACUCAAGGAGCUGUCAACUUAAAUUGUGUUUGAAUGUUAAAACAAAAUUAAUACCAAAAAUUUGUUUUGUGACUAGACAUUACAGCGUUACCAAAUUGUCCUUUUAAAAAGUUAAGUAGCAGACUUACACAGCUUGGAUGUAUUUUAGCUGUAAGGCAACUCUCCCUGAACGUAAUGACUAGUGUGAAAUGUAUACAAGAGACUCACCUUUCAGGCAGCCUACUGUCUUAAAAACAGCCCCAAAUAUUUUAAUCUUGCCAAACUUUUAUUAGAAGCUCAUCUCUUAAGCAACUGACUUGUUGACCAGUUUAAGGUUGUGUCCUUUGGUGUAAAUGGGUGCUGUUGGGACUGCAAUGUUAGGUUCUUGUAUUGGUAUAUUGAAUCUUUGAGGCUAAACUAAUUAAUCUGGACCACUUUAGAAUGCUUAGAAAGUCCUUAUCUCUAGCUGUUCAGUGGCUCAAUUGAAAUGAAUUGGGCAGUCCAAUUCAUAAUACAAAAGCUACCAUUACCUUUUCUGGUAGUCCCAUUGAAGUCAGUGGGAGGCCUUAAAUCAGUCUGAAACUAAAACUAAUUUUUGACUCUCUUUAAAUUUGAUCUAGGUGAAACACAAAAAGAGCAGUGUGUGGAAGGUUGUAUUCCUAUUGUUAGUCUAAAGUGGGCACACAGUAAUACGCAUUUGUGCCCUUUUUACAAGCAAAACACUAAACUGAAUUUUGUUGCUUGAGCUAAGAACUUUGUUUUUAUAUUCUGGGGUCAUUGGUCUUUGCACAUAGUUUCUCCCUGCAGUACAGUUUGAAUUAAAUAACUGGCUGAAAGCAAAUGCAGUACUUAAUCUAGCUGGUCCCAUUUAUUAACAUGAAUGUUCAUAUGUCCCCCUUUGUUCUCACUUCAUGUCCUCGUAACUUGGUGGUGAUUUGAGUUCCAAGCAUUUUUCAGAACACUUAUCUUUAAUUCUAGAAUAGUGAUUGUUGGUGCAAUUAGUCCUUUUACAUAAGCACUAUAAUCAGGUAACUAAGACUACCAGUGAGUAGAUAUUGUAGCUAAACAUUUACAGUGUGUGUAUAUAUACACUGAGUUGCUUUAAUACAGUUCUUCAUUUGUCCAAUUUUCUCCAUAACUCACCAAGAGGAUAUUUGAUAGAGCUGAUGUUUUGCUAAUCAUGUUAGCUAGGAGGUCCAGUUUGGUGUAGAUUAGAACAGACAAAAUGCAGCUCGCAAUUUGAAUGAUUGACAAGGCAGAGGACGAUACUUGCGUUAGAGACAGUGAUUAGUCUCAUGCUACAUUUUAUUUGUCACUUAAUGUUGUAAUUGCAAAAUCCUUGUUUCAGAAUUGUUAGCUGAGCCAUUUUAAAUAUGGCUAUUCAUUACUUUUAAGUUUAGGGAGCAGAGGAUGUAUUACAGAAUAUAUUCUACUUUUGAAAAUGUAAAUUCACUUUACUCUGUGCAGGAUUCUCACUCCUGGGUCUCUGCUCCUUAAUGCAAAAUAGCUGGAACUCUCCAAGGUUUAGGUGAGAAGUAGCAAGUAGUAGCACAAGCAGUCCUCAGCUAGUGGUGGUAUGAUAUCCCAUGCCUUAACGAUUACUUUCAGAACCUUUCAGUUUCUUUUCAACCUUGAUAGCCCUGCACCUCUUCAGCUCUUAAACACUCAGUACCUAACUGGUUUCAGAGUAGCAGCCGUGUUAGUCUGUAUUCGCAAAAAGAAAAGGAGUACUUGUGGCACCUUAGAGACUAACAAAUUUAUUUGAGCGUAACCUUUCGUGAGCUAUACGAAAGUCUUAUGCUCAAAUUUGUUAGUCUCUAAGGUGCCACAAGUACUCCUUUUCUCAGUACCUAACUGUUAUGAAUAUAUUUUUGUCUUCGAAUUUUUUCUUACCCUGUGGCCUCUGAUUCCCUAGGAGCAUUGAUAGGGUUGCUAGCCUCUGGGGAUCAUAGAGAAACUUCUGUUUGGUCUGAGUUUUUGUUUUGGCAACUUGUGCUUCAGCGCCUUAGUAUUACUGUUGGAACCUUUUUCUUGGCAUCUCCUAGUUCUCUGAACUUCAAAGCUUUUUAGGUAUUAAUUUCUUUCAGAAUAACAUCCAUUUCCUCAGCACCUGGGUGGGAAGAAGACCAGUCAUACCUCCAUACAGUACCUGUAUGGCUGAAAGCAGGAGACACCAGAAGAGAGCCACCUGCCCUCCAACUCAUCACUUCUAAAGACUUGGGGCACCUUCACAUCAUAAGACCGCAGCAUCUUCUCUUCACAUUGGUUCAGGACAGGGAAGACUGCUUUGGGGAACCUCCAUGGUGUGUUCAGCAACCUAGCUGUGUCUCUCCUGGUGAUUUCAUACAGUGUAGUGCCAUCACUAAUGCUUGCCUCUGAUCCUUCAUCAAGAUAAGCCUGAGUUGGAUACCUGUACCCCAGGAUUGGCUCCUUCAACAAAGUACUGGCCUUUAAUAGCAGUACACAAACCCCACAGCUCCUGUGCUGAGAGUCUGGGCACAGCCAUUGUUGAUGCACUUUGGAGCAUUAACCAUCUCAAAAGGCCCCUUUGGCUCACUACUUUGCUGUCUUAAUAGAAGCAUGAUGGUGGUCAGGGAUACAAUGUCUGCCUCCUGGAUGCAGAACAGAUUAACUGAAGGAGUAACAAGACAUGCUCUAUAAGGAUUUGACUUUCUCUAAUGCAUAAAGUUGGUGGGAUCUGGAUUAGCACCAGUCCAGGAAUUUAGAAGGGCAACAAUUAGUACAUACGUGGAACAAGAGCCUCCAUCCAGUUGAGUGGCCAUGCUCUUGCAUCCUAUUUUAGACCACUUGGCAAAGGUGUGUCAGACAACUCACACGACUUCUUUUGCUUCAAAUGUUGCUGAGAAGUACAUAUUGCCCAGGACUCUGCCAGCAGUUUCUCCCAUCCGAGUGAAAAGCUUGGUGGUGAAGACAACCAUGGCUAGAGAAUAUAUCAAUUAUCCUUCACAUCAGAAACUGCUGGGCCUUCAUGGCCCAACGGCAUAUUAACUACUGCGGAGCUGACUGAAUGUAGUCCACAGGACAGAUACCAGGAACUCAAAGAUGGUGGAUAAAAGUGUGGGGCUGAGCCAGUACUGGGUGCAGGUGUUUUUAUAUGCAAGCGACAAGGUACCAAGAGCUGUUCCAUCAGAAAUGGAUUUCUGUAGGUCUGCUUGCCUGCAAGUAUCUGGGUUCCAAAAGGAGAUUUAGAAAAAAUUCUGUUCUGAGAAUAUUACGUAGCUGGUAUGUCAGAAGAGUAGGAAUUACUUGUAGUUCUGCAUCCCUGAAGAUGUCAUCUUGCAGGAUUUUCACUUUCCCAGCUCCAUUCAGAGUGGAGGGGAAUCUUUGUAAGGUUACUGCUCUUUCAACCCUUUUGUUAUGACUGGCUUAUUUGGCUCUGGGAGGCUUCACUUCCUGAUAAAUCAAACUUGACUAGAAGGCUCCAAGGGUGGCACUGCAGGUCUUACAUGGCUUGUGCUUCUGCCCACUGCCUUUGGGGAUCAAUACACCUCUAGAGCAUUUAUUUCUGCCUGUUUCAUGGUUGGUAUCUGAGACUCAGGGGCAAGAAACCUGUAAGCUAGUCUUUAGAGGAGAAUUAAAAGAUAAGUAACUUUCCUAUAUAAACUUCACUUGUGAUUUAAUUCUCCUAUCAAUGUAGUGUUUGCAGUGGCAAUUCUAGAUCUCUUGGAAUUUACUCUUCAUUUAGGAAUGAGAUAUAAUAGACUUAUUCUUCAGAAUCAUUUUAUUAUGUCUCUGUAGAUAUUUGCCAUGUAAAUUACAGCUUUAUGCUAAUUAACUGUUACCAUAGUCCAUCUUGGCCAGUAUCCUGUAUCCAACAAUGGCCUGUAGUACAGCUUCAGGGGGGCAAAACAGGGCAAUUAUGCAGUGAUUCACCCAUCUUCCACACCAGCUUCUAGUAGUCAGAGGUUGAGGGCUGUCCUGAGCUUGGGAUUGUGCUCUGACUGUCUUGGCUAAUAAACAUUGAUGGACCUAUGCUCCAUGAAUUUAUCCAUUUCUUUUUUGAACCCUGUUAUACUUUUGACCAUCAGGACACAUUCCACAGGUUACUUGUGCACUGCGUGGAAAAAGUACUUCCUCUUGUUUGUGUUAAAGCUGCUGCCUAUUAAUUUCAUUGUGUGACCCUUAGCUUUUGUAUUGUGUGAAAGAGUAAAUAACACUUGUCUUUUCACUUGUCCAAACCAUUCUUGAUUUUUAUAGACUUAGUCAUCUCUUUUCUAAGCUGAACAGUCUUAAUCGUUUUUGUCUCUCCUUGUACAGAAGCCAUUCCAUAUCUUUGGUCAUCUUUGUUGUCCUCCUUUGAACUUUGCACUAUGCCCUUUUUUGAGCUGGGGUAACCAGCACUGGACAGAGUAUAAAUCCAUGGUGUCCCCACACGUCGAAUAUAGUGGCAUUAUGAUAUUUUAUCUAUCCCUUUCCUAAUAGUUCCUAACAUACGUUAGCCUUUUUGGCUGCUGCUGUGCAUUGAACAGAAGUUUUCAGAGAGCUAUCCCCAGUGACUCCAAGGUUUAUCUUGGGUGGUGACGUUUAAUUUAGAACGCAUCGUUGUAUGUAUGGUAAGGAUUAUUUUUUCCAGUGUGCAUUAUUUUGCACGAAUCAAUGUCAAAUGUUAUCUGCUGUUUUGUUGUCCAGUCAUCAAAUCAUAGGAAUGGAAGAGACCUCCAGAGGUCAUCUAGUCCAGUCCCCCUGUGCUCAUGGCAGGAUUAAGUAUUAACUCAGUCAACCAGUUUUGUGAAAUUCCUCUAACUUCUCGCAGUCCUCUUUGGACUUACUAGCAUGAAUAAUUUUGUAUCAUCUGCUAACUUUGCCACUUAACUGUUUACCUCUUUUUUCCAGAUUAUUAAUGAAUACAUUGAACAGCAUGGGUCCCUGUGCAGAUCUUGGGGGACCUCGCUGUUCACCUCUCCAUUGUGAAAACUGACCAUUUUCCAUUGAUAGAAAACUGACUAUCAUGUUUCCUGUCUUUCAACCACUUACUGAUCCAUGAGAGGACCUUUCCUCUUAUCCCACGGCUGCUUACUUACUGAUCCAUGAGAGGACCUUUCCUCUUAUCCCAUGGCUGCUUAGUUUCCUUGAGAGCUUUGGUGAGGGACCUUGUCAGAGGUUUUCUGAAAGUCCAGGUACACUGUAUCAACAGGAUUACCCUGUUGGAUCACAUGCUUGUUGACUCCCUCAGAGAAUUCUAGUAGAUAGGUGAGGCAUGAUUUCCCUUUAUAAAUGCCACAUUGACUCUUCCCCAACAAAUCCUGUUCAUCUAUGUAUGAUCAUUCUGAAAAACUUUACUAUAGUUUCUGCCUGUUUGCCUGGUAUUGAAGUUAGGCUCACUGACCUGUAAUUGCCAGGAUCUCUUCUGGAGCCCUUUU